CUCAGGUUGGACUCUUUUCCACAAACAACACGGAACCAUGACUGACAAUGAGAGUGUAGUGUAGACACUAUCAGACUAGAGAAUAAAUACGAGAAAAGACGAUGAAGAAAAUGAAAUAAUGGAUUUGGAAAACCAGGCUCAACACCUAACAGCCCAUCCUUCAAUCGAUGAAAGACUUUUGUGUUAGCAUAUAUGUAACAAAAGAAAGGGGUAAGAGAUAUACCUUGAUGGAGUACUGAAGAUGGAUCAUGGGGCAGCAGACUGAUUCUAUGAAGUAACUAGAAAAGGCCUACACAUUUUUGAUAUCUCGUCCUCUACAUGCAAGUAUCAAUACUAAGGAUUUUAUCCAAAUAGACAGUCCAUGUAAAGAAGAGAUAUUAGAGAGAACAUUUGGACCUCAUAUUCAUUUUCAUGAAAAAGCAUCACUUUUUUAUUUUUUUAUUUUUUUAUAAACUUCAAAUAAGAGUCAGGUAACUUG